rnacentral:lncRNA from 1 species
CACUUACAUGUGGUAUCUAAAAAAUAACACAAAUGCAUCAAUAUACAAAACAGAAACAGACUCAGAUAAAACAAAAUUAUGGUUUCCAAAGGGGAAAGGAAGCAGGGAGAAAUAAGGUUAGGAGUAUGGAUUAACAGAUAGAAACUAUUUUACGUAAAAUAGAUAAUCAACAAGGCUUUACUGUAGAGCACAAGGAUUUAUAUUCCAUGUUUUAUAAUAAUUAUAAUGUAAAAUAAUGUGAAAUAUAUAUAUAACAUCACUUUGCUAUAUACCUGAAACUAACACAAAAUUGUAAAUCAACUAUACUUCAGUUAAAAAAAAAAGAAUAGACAGAAUAACAUUAAUAAUAAGGGUAGACAGGAGACUAGAUGUCUAGAUACAAAAGUAUUUUUAUAAAACUACAGUAACAAAGAAGGGUGUAAUAUUUAUGCAUGACUGGAAAAAGAGGACAAUAGAACAUAGAUGGCAAAAUAAAGAAUUAAAUCUAAUAUAUAUAUGAAUAUAGUAUGAUAAAAAUAGUAUUUCAAAAGGGGAAGAUGGGUUAUUUAACAAAGACUUUUCAGACAACUUAGCAGAUGCCUGGGCGAAAAAAAUCAAGAUUUUUUCCUAACUCAUAACUUACACAAAAUAAAUUCAAAAUAGAUCAAAGAUUUAAUAUAAAAAUACCUUAAAAAGUGCUAAAAGAAAACAUUAAAUAAAUUAAUUAAUAAUCUCAGAAAAGGAAUCUCUUCCCAGUAUCUUACAAAACUCAGAGCUUUGAAAAAAUACAUUUAACAGCACACAAAUUUAAACUUUCUGCAUGCAAAAAGACAAAUGAAAAAUAGGAAAAAAUUACAACACAUAUUACAUUGCUUACAUCACUCACAAAGACUAAUUUCCUUAUAUAUAAGAAUUUUACAAAUCAAUAAAAUAAUGAGGAAAAAAUGAGUAAAUAAAAAGAAGGUUGAGUAAAGGAAACACAAAUGGCUCUCAAUUUAUUUAAUAAUAAGAGAAACUAGGGAGUUCCCAUCAUGGCUCAGUGGAUUAUGAAUCUGCCUAGUAUCCCUGAGAAUGCAGGUUGGAUCCCUGGCUCUGCUCAGUGGGUAAGGAUCCAGUUUUGCCCUGAGCUGUGGUGUAGGUUGCAGAUGCAGCUCCCAUUCAACCCCUAGCAUGGGAACUUCCAUAUGCCAUGGGUUCAGCCCUAAAAAUAGCAAAAAGCAAAAAAAUAAAAAAAUUUUUUAAAUAUAAGAGAAACUAAACUACUGAUCCAAUGAGUCAUAUUUUUAUGUAACACCUAUAGUUUCAACUAAUUAUAUUUCAUAUCUAAUAGUAAUUUCAAAACCUUUAUCAAAGUUAUAAAUUCUCAGUCAUUUUAUUUCAGCAGUUCUACUAGGAAUUUAUCCUGCUGACUUGGUGAUGUAUUAGAAAAAUGGGACACACAGAAGGAUAUUUAUUGCAACAUUGUUUGUAUUAGCUAAGAUUGACCAAAAAUGCCAAAUCUCUACCAAACCCCUAUCCUGAAGGUUGGUUAAAUAAUUGAUGACAUACGCCUAAAAAUAGAUACUAUGCAGACAUUAAAAGUAUUGAUUCUGUUAAAUAUUUCUACCGUGGAAAACUCUAUAAAAUACUCUAAGUGAAAAAGCAAGGUGUAAAUAGAAGAGUAUGCACAUUGGUACUGUUACUGAUUAUAUGUAAAUAUAAUUUUAUAUAUUAUAAUUAUAUACAUAACAUAUAUAAUACAUUAUAGAUAAAUUAUGAGAUAUGGUUACAUAUUUGAUGUAUAUAUAUAGUGAUAUAUAUGUACACAUGCAUAUAUGUACAUUUACAUGCACACAUAAUAUCUUUGAGUUUAUACAAAACAACUGGUAUUACUAGUUGCCUUUAAAAGAGGCAUUUAGUACUGUUUGUAUUACCUAUGCCACAAAUAAUUAGAAAAAAUUUUGAAUUAUAUAUUUAAAGUUCUAAUUAGACAAACAUCAUGGAGAAAAUCUCUCUCCCCUUUAACAUUCCUUUCUUGGGUUUCCAUACUCUUUUCUCUGUGCAUGAGAGUGAGGAGAGUGAUGUGAAGCUGGUUGGGAUGAUAAAUAGUCUCUCCUAGGUAGGAAAAGAUCAGAUUCAGAAAAAAGAAAACCAUAAAACUUGAAAUAUUUCCUGGUUAGGAGUCUGCCAAUCUGUACAUUAAAGAAAAAAAUGAACAGUAUUCCAGACUCCAAGGUCAGGAUAAGACACAGAAAAGGAAAAAAAUGCUGGGAAAUUUAUGUUCGGUACAGACGCUUUUUUAGUUCCUCUGCUUCUUUAACGCUGACACUCUGCACACAUCAGCAGUACUUCCCAAGCCAGACCGCCUUCAUUUCUGAAGAAAGAGAAUAAGGUGGGCCCUUCAUUCCAGAGCCUGCCAGUCCUACAGGCAUCUCUAUGGGAAUGACUGUGUCUCUAAUUAUUCUCCUUUACUACACUAGUCCCAAAUUACACUUUCUUUUAAUAACAGUAUUUCAAUUAAUAUGAAGUGCCAGCUACUGAAAUUCUGGUUUUGCUAUGAAUCAACAGUCAAAAAUAAGAAAAGUUUUAUCUUCCAUAAAUGCUAAUAACCAUGUCAUUCAGAUUAGUCCUAAGGCAAGCAAGUCAAAUGAAAAUCUCAACACAUAUAUUUGCAAAAUUCUAAGCACCCUUGGUUUCCUUCUUCUCUAUAGGGAGUAGAAAUAGGAUGACAAGAGUUUUCAUGAGGUCAGUUAAUAUUUAUAUGGGAGUCCUCUAACUUUGGUUUUCCUCCAAAGCAGAGCCUGAGUCAAGGACCUCAGUGCAGAUAGCUGACAUGGGAGGGGCUCUCAGGAAGCAGAAAUGAGGACCAUGAAAAGUAAAGGGAAGAAAGCCCAUUAAAGGUGCAACACUGAGCUGGCACCCACUUCUGGCAACUGAGAUUCGAUCCCAACUGAGAUCCUCUGAGGAAUCUUAGAGACCAUACCUCUGCAUCAUUCCUCUGGUGCUUGGUAGGUUGUAAUGUUUAUCUGUCAAUCUUAACCCUUUUUGGUUAAGGUUGCCUAACGGGUAUUAACCCCUUGCACUUCCAGGCUGCUGUGUUUGGGGGCUGAGCUGCCCAAACCUUCAGAAAAUGUCAAAAGACACAGCAAGUGCUUGAGGCAGAAAGUUAUCAAUGUGAUAAGAAUAUUCCACCAUAGCUGCUACUCAAUGUCUUAGGGGGCUUCUAAAGUUUCUUGCACAAACAUGGUUGUAGAGUUAUCAGGCAGGAUUUUAGUGGCCAGGGUCUUAUGACUUUAUACAACAAAGUUAAUAACCUCUUGUAUUUUGGAAUACAUUUGAAAAUUCAGAUACUUAUUGAGAUUUCUGAGGGUCACCAGAUAAAAUGACUAAAGUAAAAGUAAUUUGAUCCAGGAGUUUCGACUGAAUAGAAUGAAAUCAAAAAUUAAAAUUAUUCCUAUACCAAGUAGGUUAGUCUUAUUCAUCAAGUUACUAUGGGUUAGUGUUCAUUUUAAUGAUGCAGAGAGGGUGCCUAACCCCCAAUUCCCACCAAUGUCCCCAAUGGAGCUCUCAUUCCCAGCCAGAGAGGUGCUAUGUGCCCCCUCCCCUUGCAUCUACUUAGGAACACGAGACCUGUGUCUCUGAAUUCAUUGUCCCACGGGUUAUUUCACUCCAGAGUCUCCUGCAAGGAUGAGGCACAGUUUUUCAGGGUGACAACUGUGAUAUGAAAGGUCAAACUCCUUUCUACAUGGACUUUCAAACAGAUCUUGUUUUGAGUCCCCUUGGUUCUUGCUGUUUCCACAUCUUGAAGCUGGCAUGCACUGCUUAGUGGGAAAUAGCUAUUCUGAAGUUUUUCCUCUGCCAACUUCAAUUUCAAUUUUAUUUUUCUUUUUGGUCUGUUAAGUUAACCACCACUUGUCCACUUGUCCAUCUAGUUUUCUUUUUUUAUUUAAAUCCAUCAUCUCAUUUUCAUUCCUACUAAUUUUUUUUUUUUUUUUUUUUUUUUUUUUUUUUUUUGCUUUUUAAGGCGACACCCAAAGCAUAUGGAAAUUCCCAGGCUAAGAGUUGAAUCAGAGCUAUAGCUGCUGGCCUAUGCCACAGCCACAGCAAGGCAGGAUCCAAGCUGCAUCUGCGACCUACACCACAACUCAGGCAACGCCAGAUCCCCGACCCACUGAGUGAGGCCAGGGAUCAAACCCAUAUCCUCAUGGAUACUAGUCAGAUUCAUUUCUGCUGUGCCACAACAGGGACUCCCCUUAUUUUUUUUUAAUUGAAGUAUAGUUGAUUUACAGUAUUGUAUUGACUUCUGCAGGCAUUGUCAUGUUUAACCCUUACUGUCCAAACAUAAUUACAUAUCAACUGUGUGAUGGAGAUUUUAAAAAUGAAUACUGCCUGGCCUAUUUCUUCCAAGUCUUUGCAUUUAAAACAAUACAAUCAAAGAAACUACAUUCCAGGUAAGAUAGUCUUCCAAAAACUCCUUUACCCUCCAAUCAAGAAAAUAACAAUGUCUGAUAAAUAUUAGAAAAUCCCUCGCUGUUUUAUACUAUUCCUGAAUAGAUCAUGAAUAGAAAUUUGAAAAUGUGAUACCUAGCUGCUAGUUGUUUAUUUUUCACAUUUGUACAGUUACUCAAGGUAGAAUAUCCAAACCUCGAGUGAUUCACCGAAAUGUCUUUCCUGAAACCAGCCAUUUUCCAAAGCUAUAUUUUAGCAAUUUGAAACAAAAAUCAUUCAUCACCAAGACAGGGAGCCUUGGAUGGAAUUCCAGACAUCUGUGAGGAACCAAGUAUCCAGAAUGAUCUAGUCUUCUCACAGAAAGAAAAGGCUUUUAGAAAGAACUGACAAACAGCUGUGGCAGCUUAUAUAGUAUAUAAUACACAGACCACAAACAACAAAAAAUGAGGGCACAGGAAGGAAACCAAUACAAGAAAACAGAGAGAGGAAUUUGUCAGUGUCAUUCGUUUACUUGAUUGUUAUUCACAUAUAAAUAUAGAAAUAUACAUAAUGAUGCCAGAAACCAGCAAGGGCUGCAUGAAUCAAUUACAUCACAUUUACUGCCUGAACAUUAUGUCCUAGUAGCACAUCCAAACAAUUCCUCUUCUAUCAAUGCUCUCUUAUUGAUUUGUGUAGCUUUGCAGCUAUUC